rnacentral:ncRNA from 1 species
UAUAUAAUUAAUUUGACUUUGGUUUUUGUUUUAGUUGUUAUAAUUUUAUACAUGUUAGGUUUAUUAUAUAUAUAUAUAUAUAUAUAUAUAUAAUCGUUUAUAGUGUUAAUAUUUAUAAUAGUUUUUGUAGUUUGAUUAAAUAUUGAGUACAUGAUUAUAUAUAGGUUUUUUUUAUUAAAUGAUAUUUAAUAUAAUAGUUGACUUUUUCAGUAUAUUAAUUUAUACAAUGAAUGAGAGUUUUAUAUAGAAAUUAUAAAUUAUGAUUGGAUAAAUUUGUGCCAGCAUCUGCGGUUAUACAUAUAAUUAAAAUUAAAAUGUUUUGGUUGAAAGUAAAGUAAGAUGUGUUUAUUAAUUAAGGGAGUUUUAUAGUUAAUUUUUUGGUAAAAUUUUUAAAUUAAUUUGUUUAUUAUUGGUUUCUUUAAUAUUGAUACUUUGAAAUUUUGAAAAUAAACUAGGAUUAGAUACCCUAUUAUUUUUUAGUGUAAAAAUUGAUUUGUUUAUUUACCUAAGUAUUAUGAAGAUAAUUUAAUGUUUUAUUAUGUUAUUUAAAACUUAAAAGGUUUGGCGGUUUUACAUAUCCAGUCAGGGGAAUUUGUUGAUAUAAUUUGAUAAUCCACAUUUUAAACUUACUUCUUUUUGAAUUUUUAUAUAAAACAGUUUAUAUAUUGCUGUCGAUAGUUUAUGUUUUAAGAAAAAAAGAACUUUUAAAUUUUUUAAUUGGUAUGUCAAGUCAUAAUGUAGCUAAUAAAGAAGGUUUAAUGAAUUACUUUGGUUUAUUUUAUUUGGUUACCGGAUAGUAAAUGUUAAGUUUAUUAGUAAGGUGGACUUGAUAGUAAAUUUAAUAAUUAGUAUGUAUAGUUGAAUAUGGUUUUGUAAAGUGUACAUAUCGCCCGUCACUCUUGUUGGUUAAAUAAGAUAAGUCGUAACAUAGUAGAAGUAAUGGAAAUUGUUUCUGGAGAAAUAUAUUAAUUUUAUAUUUGAA